rnacentral:rRNA from 1 species
GGAGUAACAACGUGGAGUAACAUACCUAUAGGACUGGGAUAACUUCGGGAAACCGGAGCUAAUACCGGAUAAUAUAUUGAACCGCAUGGUUCAAUGGUGAAAGACGGCUUUGCUGUCACUUAUAGAUGGAUCCGCGCCGCAUUAGCUAGUUGGUAAGGUAACGGCUUACCAAGGCAACGAUGCGUAGCCGACCUGAGAGGGUGAUCGGCCACACUGGAACUGAGACACGGUCCAGACUCCUACGGGAGGCAACAGUC